GCCACACUUCAAAACUACACCAUGUUACAGUAACGAAUAGACCCUGAGAUCUGAGGUUUUUUUUAUUUUUCACUCGCGUGUGGUCUAAUGUGGGUUAAGUACCUCUUCUGCAUCUUCCAACUGUCUUUGGGAACAUGUGGCCUCCAAGGUCACCUUGAAAGGGGAAGACUAUGUAAGAAAUAGAUUACAUCACUUCCCCUCUCAUCCUAUUGGUUGGAACUCAGUCACAUGACCCCCGUGUGACCACACUGACCAUGGGCAGGUUGGGAAAUGUAGUCUUUCUGUUGGCCCAGGAAGAGGACUUGGUGCAGUGGACGGUGGCAUUGUCUCUCCCACCAGCAGCCCUCUGCUCACCAGACAACUUACUCUUCUUACCUCCCACGGAGCACAUUCUCUGCCUCCUAAAGCCGGUCUGGUCUCGGUGUCCACCUCCAGGUCCAGAAUCUCCAGGCUCCGCGAUGGUAGAAGAUUCAGCAUCACACGGCCUGUCCCUCCUGCCGACCGCCGCAGGUCGGUCAUCGGUGACAAGACGAGACAUCGACUCUAAACAACGAGAGGGCCGAAGAAGAAAUCGUGAUGGAAAUUUAAAAAUUCCUAGAAGUGGAUGAUAUUUGAAAAGCUACAGUAAAAACUCAUGGGCUGCAACCAAGUGGAGCUUGGGAGAAAUGUGGGGUCUUGGUACUUAGGUGAGACGGACGGCUGGAAGGGAUGGAGCCAAGUAUCCAACUGCAGAAGCCAGAAGGAGCACAACAGAGCAGCCCAGAUAAAGCAGAAGGGAGGAAAUAGUGCAGCUGGGGGCUGACUUGCUUUAACUGCCCUUGGUUAGUUGCCCGUUUGCAGAAGUAGUUAGCUAACGCUUUACUGAAACCCACCGUACAGAUGGGAUCUCUGACGCCUGGGUCACCAUGGGCACAGGUGCUUGGGUUUUUCAGGAACUGAGGGUCGACUCCUUGUCCAGUUCAGGCUGGUUAAGAUCACCAACUCAUCCACUAGACCUGCGCAAAUGACGAUGGGUCACCCUUUGAUGUCAAGGAGCUGAAAACUCCACCCUCAGAUCAUGGUGACAUUGCCAUUUUGUGAACACGCGUCCCGUGAAGAGCCGUGAAGCUGGACUACGCUUGCUCAGAUCAUCAGCUACCUCCCUUCUCACCUCCAGUCAUCUCUCCCCACUUCAGACCACCUGCCCCUUUAUCCUAUUGACAUCCCUGAUGCCCGUUUCUCCAGGAGGAGGAUUUGAGCUGAGUUCUCCUGUCUGCUCACUUGGCUGCCUUGUUAUUAAACCCUUUCUGUUUGCAAA
rnacentral:lncRNA from 1 species